rnacentral:rRNA from 1 species
GACGAACGCUGGCGGCGUGCUUAACACAUGCCAGUCGAGCGGAAAGGCCCUGCUUUUGUGGGGUGCUCGAGUGGCGAACGGGUGAGUAACACGUGAGUAACCUGCCCUUGACUUUGGGAUAACUUCAGGAAACUGGGGCUAAUACCGGAUAGGAGCUCCUGCCGCAUGGUGGGGGUUGGAAAGUUUCGGCGGUUGGGGAUGGACUCGCGGCUUAUCAGCUUGUUGGUGGGGUAGUGGCUUACCAAGGCUUUGACGGGUAGCCGGCCUGAGAGGGUGACCGGCCACAUUGGGACUGAGAUACGGCCCAGACUCCUACGGGAGGCAGCAGUGGGGAAUAUUGCACAAUGGGCGGAAGCCUGAUGCAGCAACGCCGCGUGCGGGAUGACGGCCUUCGGGUUGUAAACCGCUUUCGCCUGUGACGAAGCGUGAGUGACGGUAAUGGGUAAAGAAGCACCGGCUAACUACGUG